rnacentral:tRNA from 2 species
UGGGGUGUGGAGCAGCCCGGUAGCUCGCAAGGCUCAUAACCUUGAGGUCGCUGGUUCAAAUCCAGCCGCCCCGA